rnacentral:rRNA from 1 species
GUGGGGAAUAUUCCGCAAUGGACGAAAGUCUGACGGAGCAACGCCGCGUGAGUGAUGAAGGUUUUCGGACUGUAAAGCUCUGUUGUUUAGGACGAAAGUGCCUGUUGCAAAUAGUUACAGGUAUUGACGGUACUGAACGAGGAAGCCACGGCUAACUACGUGCCAGCAGCCGCGGUAAUACGUAGGUGGCAAGCGUUGUCCGGAAUUAUUGGGCGUAAAGAGCAUGUAGGCGGGAAUCUACGUCUGUUGUGAAAAUGCGGGGCUCAACCCCGUAUUGCGAUGGAAACUGGGUUUCUUGAGUGCAGGAGAGGAAAGGGGAAUUCCCAGUGUAGCGGUGAAAUGCGUAGAUAUUGGGAGGAACACCAGUGGCGAAGGCGCCUUUCUGGACUGUGUCUGACGCUGAGAUGCGAAAGCCAGGGUAGCGAACGGGAUUAGAAACCCCUGUAGUCC